rnacentral:rRNA from 1 species
CACGUAGGUGGCGAGCGUUAUUCGGAUUCACUGGGCGUAAAGGGUCCGCAGGGGGCCUGCCAAGUCUGUCGUGAAAACCCGGGGCUCAACCCCGGGCCUGCGGUGGAAACAGGCGGGCUGGAGUGUGUGAGGGGCAGACGGAACACCUGGUGUAGCGGUGGAAUGCGUGGAUAUCAGGUGGAACACCGAUGGCGAAGGCGGUCUGCUGGCACACAACUGACCCUCAGGGACGAAAGCGUGGGUAGCAAACAGGAUUAGAUACCCUGGUAGUCCACGCUGUAAACGUUGAGAACUAGAUAUGGUGGGGCUGGCCCCCUCCGUGUCCAAGCAAACGCGAUAAGUUCUCCGCCUGGGGACUACGGCCGCAAGGCUAAA